UGUUCUCAGGGCGGGGUGAAACUCCCCACCGGCGGUAAGGGGCACACGCCCCAAGCCCGCGAGCGGCCCCGGAUGACCCCGGGGUGACAGCAGAUCUGGUGUAAUUCCAGAGCCGACGGUCAUAGUCCGGAUGAAAGAGAGCG
rnacentral:ncRNA from 1 species